rnacentral:lncRNA from 1 species
GGGAAAGAGAAGCUUCUCUUUCCAUCAGGGCUGUGUAGCUGGCUCAACAAAUCUUGGGGCUGCUGAAGGCCAUCUUGCCACUACCUGGUGAGAGCCCUCCUGAGGAUGAACAGAGGAAAGCAGAGUUGGGAGACGGAGGAAGGCAGCUUCCUGAUGACAGUGUCUGAGCACCCGGAUCCAGCCAUGCCUGAAGGUAGCCUACUCCUGGACUUCCCAGUGACAUCAGCCAAUUUCCCUUUCUUUUCCUUAAGCUGGUCUAAGUGACAGGGAACGCAGCAUGAAGAACACCCGGAUGGCCUGGACCAACAGUUCAGAGAGCAGAGAAGAGUGAGAUUGCAGAGUCAUUUCAGUGAGAUGCCCCACACCCAGAAAUGACACCAUGACUCUCUAUUAAAAAAGAAAGAAACGCAAUAAAGCCCACCUCUUCGGGUGUUUUGAUUCUGGUACGUGCUUUUAUAACAAGACAGAAAAAAAAAAAUCAAAGGGGGAGUAGCCUGUUUUCAGUUAUUCACAGGUUCAGGUUUGGGUUACUUUACCUGAACUGAGCACCCGUCAUCUGCCAGGACCUUGUCCCCAAGUAUCAGGUGACCUUCAUAAUAAUCCCUGCCCAGCAGUCAGCCCCAUUUCACAGACCGGGCAGCUGAGACCUAAGAAGGUGAAGUGACCUGCCCAGGCCAUGCUUCCAGCAAGGGCUAGACCCUGAGUCUGUCUGUCCCAACCAAACCAGCAUGGGCUCUGGAAAACCCAAUCACUCCAAAAGCAUUUCAAGGUACUACCUACUGAAUACGGGGGUGGGGCAGACAGAAGAGGGUGAAAUGAAAUGCCUGUGGGCUGCAGGGCCUGAGACCUGAGGAAAAUCCUACCCUGGGUGAGUCUCUUCAACUCCCGCUCCCUUGGUCUUACGACAGGGGGUGUGCUGCUGACGGGGCAGAGACCUCGCACCUAGCAGGUGGGCAGUGACCUUGGUUCCCUGAAUGCCCCUCAGGCUUUCCCUGCCAGCAGACCAGGGGCACAGGUGGAUCCACCAGCACAGGGAUUCCUGGCCCAUAGAAGUGGUGUCUGGUCAGAAUUGUGUGGCCACCAGGUACUUUCAGAGAGCAGAAACAAAGCAGAGUCCCAGCAGUCGGAGCCGUGUGUGCAGAAAGCAGCCUCCAGCCCCAGGACAGGCUUGCCCACCAACCAGAGCAAGGAAGCAGAGGGGCAGUCCACAGAAAAGGCCACCUGCAGGCCUCUCUCCCUGAGGCACAGCUGCUGGGCCUGACUGAGGGUGCAGUGCCCCAUGGGGACAGCUCCAGAGUCAGACACAUGAGGUCUACAUCAGAUUCCCAGUUCCACUAGGCUGGGCAAGUCCCCUGACUUCUGUGAGCUUCCUUUUCCUCAUCUGUAAAAUGGGCAUGAUAGCUCGCAUGCCUGCUAGGAGGUUCUGAGAUAACGCAGGAGGGAAAGCAGCCAGCACAGUGGGGUUGGGGGGACAAACCACUGUCACCACUAGGGAGCUGCAAAGGCGAAUCCCAGUGCGCCUUUGGGUCUUCUUGUUUAUGGCUCUGAAGGCUGCAGUCUGGACCUAGGUGAGGGGAGGUGCCCUCUAUACAGCAGUGUGCCUCCCAAAACUAGAAAGGGGCCAAAUUACUGUCUGCAAAGAGGUGCACUCACACUGCCUCCUCAUACCCCAGGCAAUGAGGAGCUGGUCAGCCUGCUUACACCCAGUGCUGCCUUGCGCCCUAACCAGUGGGAGACCUUGGAGCAACUUCCUAAUGUUGGAACUGGAAGAGCAAUCCUAUCUCCUGGCCCUAUGCUAAGGUAGUGCAGUCCUCUGUAAACCAGAAAGCACUGGAGAAAGAUCAGCUCUUAAGUUAUAAUGAUGAUGAUGGUGGUGGUAGCAUUCGUAUCUGAUUGUCAACAGUUUUUAAAAGUACAGUCUUCAUAAAGACAUCUCUAACAAUUGGGAGAAAAAGAAGUGUAGUUCCAUUAAAAAAUUCAAAAGAACUUCUAUUUUUUAAGCACUUACGGGGUGGCAGGAACUGUGGGCACCUUAUUGUAACUUGAAGAUUUUAUGGAGGAAGAAACAGAGCUGAGAGGGGCAGAGUUAUUUCAGCUCACACACCUGCUAAGUGGCUGAGCUGGGUGUGAACUCAGGAAUGUAUGACAUGUGUGUCACUUAACCAAGUGCACCAGGAAACUUAAACAUCCAUGGCAGUCCAAGUACAGAAAGCCCAAGACGUGGGUGGUCACUUGAAAUAUUUGGCAGCUUGAGCUCUCAAAUAAGGAGUCAUGACCAUGAGGAUGAGAAAGAAAGGAAACGGCCCAUCACAGCCAGGUCCAAGUCAAGGAGACGCUCAUUUCUGUGCCCAAACGCCUGUUCCUCUUGGGGUUUUGAAGGCAAAUAACUCAUGCAGGACCAGAGCAGGUGGGUAAGAAAACAGAAACGUGUGGCUUUCUGCAGCCCACCACUCUGAAAAACUGUAACCUUUCAAUAAAUACUUUAAAAGUUCAGAAUUUGGCUCCCAAUAUAGGCCAAUAUCUGCUUUUGCCUUGCAAACAACACAUGGAUAAUAACAAUCAUCAUCAUAAAUAUAAAAUAGAAUAUAAUACACAUACAGUCAGCUCUCUGUAUCCAUGGGUUCCAUAUCUGUGGAUUCAACCAACUGUAGAUCAAAAAUAUUAAAAAAAAAAAGGGUUGCAUCUGUACUCAACUUGUACAGACUUUUUUCCUUAUUAUUCCCUAAUCAAUACAGUAUAACAAACUAUUUACAUAGCAUUUACAUUGUACUCAGUAUCAUAAGUAAUCUAGAGACGAUUUAAAGUCUACAGGAGGAUGUGCAUAGGUUAUAUGCAAACACUACGCCGUUUAUAUAAGGGACUUGAGCAUCUGUGGAUUUUGGUAUCCUUGGGGGAGCCCUAGAACCAAUUCCCCAUGGAUACCGAGGGAUGACUGUAUAAUAAAAUCUCUCAAUGUUUUUCCUGGUUCCUGCCCCAACUCCUAAGAGAAGGAAGGACACAUGAGAAGCCAUGUCCAUGAAUCUGAGGCGGGCCGAUUCCCACAGGGCGGGGAGCUCCACUCGAGGCAAAACCUGGGCUCCCAUGGGGGUAGGGGGGUUAUAAGGGCCUGGUAGGCACAUUGGGCAGCCCCACAACUCUGUAAAUUCACAAAAGAAAGCUAAAAUAUGAGCAUAAGAGCCAUAAAAUUCACCCCACCACACCCAAAACAAUAAGCACUCUCUUGAUUCCCCAUGGCCUGCCGCAUACUAUGCCAGCUGUACGGGGUUGUCUCAUCUAAGCUUUUAAUGACUCUGCAUGGUUCCUAUUUUACAGAUGGGGAAACCAAAGCUGAGCAAUGACAGGCAGCCUGCCCAAGAUUCUUCCAUAGAAUAUCAGGAAGGACUGACCCAGGAAGAACAGGUUAGAUUUUGAAAAGGAUGACAGCUGACCAAGCUCAAAUAUAAAGAGAUUGCUCCAGUUUCUUUGCUUCAAUGAGUCUGGAAGCAAAUUCUGGCAAACUCAAUGUCACCGGGGAAUCAGUCCAAUGAGCAGGGGAAGGUGGGUGGCUCUGUAGUCAGACACACUGUGGCUCAAGCUGGGGCUUGGUAAUCACGUGACGUGCCCAAGCCCAGGCUUGUGUUCUGGAAAUGGGGCACCCACCGUGCAGGUACAACGGGAUGGCACCGGUGAUGUGCUGAGCCCACGAGCUGGCCUGGAACAAAGGCUCGGUUUUCACCCUCCUGCUUCCUUGCUGCAUGUGCAAGCUGCCUAGUUUAGGCGACAGUCACUCAAGUUAGAAGCCCACUGAGGCCAUGUAGCUGUGAAAGUCAGUCAUUCUUAAAAGAGGGCCGAAGCAGUUUAAUGUGGGCACAACCCAUCGGGAAAGCAAUUUGGCAAUAUGCAGAGGGUCAUGAAAAAAACACAUUCAUACCCUUUGAACCAGAAAUUCCGCUUCUGGGAACUUAUCCUAAAGAAAUAAUUCAAAAGAAAGAAAAACACUGUAUUCAUGAAGCUGCUCAUUAUAGUUUAGUUGAAAAUAAUGUAAUACUGGAAGCAACGAAAAUGUCUACUUGCAAGAAAAUGCCAGAUGAACCUUUAUGAGGCCAUAAGAAAUGAGACUUAUUUAAACUGUGACAACAUGAAAAACUUCUUGUGCUACGACGAAAAGAAAGAAAAAGAAGGGAUGAAAGCAAGACCACAGUACACUCUUUUUACAGACAAAGAUAGGAGGAGCACAAAAGAUGUCUAAGUAUUGUUUGUUUAGGGUGAUGAAAUCAUGGGAAAGACUGUUCCCUUUACUUUUGAAACUGCAUGAGAUGUUAUUGUAUUUUCUUUAAUGUAUAAUACACAUCGAAAAAAUAAAGCAAAAUAUUCUAUUUCCUCAAGGCCAAUAGUGAUAAACACAAAAACUGCUUGUGGUUUUACAAAGGAACAGGGAAACAAUGUGGGGACAAAUAAAACCUCGUGCAAAUAUGGGUGUUUCAUAACCGCUUCCAAGAUGACUAUAUACAGAUGGCUAGUGGCUUAAACUUGGAUUUUGAUAUUCACCAAAAAAUCCUAUUCCUAACUCUCUUUUCUCUGGCAUUAAGCUUUGGUAGAUUUAGAUCAUGAAAGACCCUAUUUCUUUCCCACCUUACAUACUAGACUGCUCCAUCUCUGUUCAGACAAUGCUUCCUGAGCACUUACUGUCUGCCAGGCCCUGGGCUUGUCACUUCACAGCCACACUCGUCUACUCUGGGCAACAGCUGAGAGGCAAGACCCACGAGGGACCUGAGGUUCCGGGAGGGUGAGUGGCUCGCUCAAGCUCAUGCAGCUGGAGUUGGGAUUUGACCCGUGGUUGGUCUGACUGACACCACUGUUUUCCUUCUUCACUGCUUCUCUCAGGUCCCCCUACAUGUGGGAUGGAUCCAGCCUAAGCCCAAAGUUCUGCUCCAAUGUUCUCACUGGACCCCAACAGCUCCAGUGACCUUCAUUUCAACAUGAAUUUCCCUUCUCAGCUGGCAUGGCUCAGUGGACCCCUUGCUGUUUUGGUCUUAUUUUAUAUUAUUUGCUCAUCAU